AGGACGAACGCUGGCGGCGUGCCUAACACAUGCAAGUCGAACGAGGUUCAGUCAGUAGCAAUACUGACGAAGACCUAGUGGCGAACGGGUGAGUAGCACGUGAGCAACCUACCCCGAAGACCGGGACAACACCGGGAAACCGGUGCUAAUACCGGAUAUCCCCAUCGAGUCGCAUGGCUUGAUGAGGAAAUGGAUUCCGCUUCGGGAGGGGCUCGCGGCCUAUCAGCUUGUUGGUGAGGUAACGGCUCACCAAGGCUUCGACGGGUAGCUGGUCUGAGAGGACGAUCAGCCACACUGGGACUGAGACACGGCCCAGACUCCUACGGGAGGCAGCAGUGGGGAAUCUUGCACAAUGGGCGAAAGCCUGAUGCAGCAACGCCGCGUGAGGGACGAAGGCUUUCUGAGUUGUAAACCUCUUUCAGCAGGGACGAUUGUGACGGUACCUGCAGAAGAAGCCCGGCAACUACGUGCCAGCAGCCGCGGUAAU
rnacentral:rRNA from 1 species